rnacentral:rRNA from 1 species
UUCUGAGAGGAAGAUCAGCCACACUGGGACUGAGACGCGGCCCAGACUCCUACGGGAGGCAGCAGUGGGGAAUAUUGCACAAUGGGGGAAACCCUGAUGCAGCCAUGCCGCGUGUGUGAAGAAGGCCUUCGGGUUGUAAAGCACUUUCAGUUGUGAGGAAAGGUUGGUAGUUAAUACCUGCCAGCUGUGACGUUAACAACAGAAGAAGCACCGGCUAACUCCGUGCCAGCAGCCGCGGUAAUACGGAGGGUGCGAGCGUUAAUCGGAAUUACUGGGCGUAAAGCGCACGCAGGCGGUUUGUUAAGCUAGAUGUGAAAGCCCCGGGCUCAACCUGGGAUGGUCAUUUAGAACUGGCAGACUAGAGUCUUGGAGAGGGGAGUGGAAUUCCAGGUGUAGCGGUGAAAUNGCGNUAGAGAUCUGGAGGNAACAUCAGUGGCGAAGGCGACUCCCUGGCCAAAGACUGACGCUCAUGUGCGAAAGUGUGGGUAGCGAACAGGGUUAGAUACCCUGGUAGUCCACACCGUAAACGCUGUCUACUAGCUGUGUGUGUAUUUUAUACGUGCGUAGCGAAGCUAACGCGCUAAGUAGACCGCCUGGGGAGUACGNGCCGCAAGGUUANAAGACUCANAAUGAAUUGACGGGGGCCCGCACAAGCGGUGGAGCAUGUGGUUUAAUUCGAUGCAACGCGAAGAACCUUACCUACACUUGACAUGCAGAGAACUUUCUAGAGAUAGAUUGGUGCCUUCGGGAACUCUGACACAGGUGCUGCAUGGCUGUCGUCAGCUCGUGUCGUGAGAUGUUGGGUUAAGUCCCGCAACGAGCGCAACCCUUGUCCUUAGUUGCCAGCCUUAAGUUGGGCACUCUAAGGAGACUGCCGGUGACAAGCCGGAGGAAGGUGGGGACGACGUCAAGUCAUCAUGGCCCUUACGUGUAGGGCUACACACGUGCUACAAUGGCAAGUACAGAGGGAAGCGAGACAGUGAUGUGGAGCGGACCCCUUAAAGCUUGUC